rnacentral:rRNA from 1 species
AUUGAACGCUGGCGGCAGGCCUAACACAUGCAAGUCGAACGGUAACAGGAAGCAGCUUGCUGCUUCGCUGACGAGUGGCGGACGGGUGAGUAAUGUCUGGGAAGCUGCCUGAUGGAGGGGGAUAACUACUGGAAACGGUAGCUAAUACCGCAUAAUGUCGCAAGACCAAAGAGGGGGACCUUCGGGCCUCUUGCCAUCGGAUGUGCCCAGAUGGGAUUAGCUUGUUGGUGGGGUAACGGCUCACCAAGGCGACGAUCCCUAGCUGGUCUGAGAGGAUGACCGGCCAGACUGGAACUGAGACACGGUCCAGACUCCUACGGGAGGCAGCAGUGGGGAAUAUUGCACAAUGGGCGCAAGCCUGAUGCAGCCAUGCCGCGUGUAUGAAGAAGGCCUUCGGGUUGUAAAGUACUUUCAGCGGGGAGGAAGGGAGUAAAGUUAAUACCUUUGCUCAUUGACGUUACCCGCAGAAGAAGCACCGGCUAACUCCGUG